rnacentral:rRNA from 1 species
AGUGAACGCUGGCGGUAGGCCUAACACAUGCAAGUCGAACGGCAGCACAGGAGAGCUUGCUCUCUGGGUGGCGAGUGGCGGACGGGUGAGGAAUACAUCGGAAUCUACUCUGUCGUGGGGGAUAACGUAGGGAAACUUACGCUAAUACCGCAUACGACCUACGGGUGAAAGCAGGGGACCUUCGGGCCUUGCGCGAUUGAACGAGCCGAUGUCGGAUUAGCUAGUUGGCGGGGUAAAGGCCCACCAAGGCGACGAUCCGUAGCUGGUCUGAGAGAAUGAUCAGCCACACUGGAACUGAGACACGGUCCAGACUCCUACGGGAGGCAGCAGUGGGGAAUAUUGGACAAUGGGCGCAAGCCUGAUCCAGCCAUACCGCGUGGGUGAAGAAGGCCUUCGGGUUGUAAAGCCCUUUUGUUGGAAAAGAAAUCCAGCUGGCUAAUACCCGGUUGGGAUGACGGUACCCAAAGAAUAAGCACCGGCUAACUUCGUGCCAGCCGCCGCCGUAA